rnacentral:lncRNA from 1 species
GAUGAUAGAAUGGAGCAGUAAAUACGUAUCCAAAGUGCUGGAGAAAUUGCUACUUCGGUAGCAAUAAAAUGUGGGUUACAAGUUUGUACAAGAUAAGGAGAAAGAUGCUCGAAAAUUUCUUCUACAAACAUCAAAAUCACGAAUGUAGAUAUACGAAGAACCGUGCCAUGAUUUUUUGCAAUCCAACAAUUUUUUGAUAUUUUCCUCCAUGACCUGUCCUCGUGGCAAGAGACUUCAAGAAUGUGCUGGACCUAUUGACGAAGAUCUGCCACGGCAUUCGGCAUCCAAUAUCCAUUUGGUGGCUGAUAAAGGAAAAAAGAUAGGAGAAGAAAUUGUGUUAAAGGAGAAAAUUAUAAUAUAACCCUAAAAAUGGUUCUCCUAUCUCACUUACAAUUCAUGUUCCACACCUCUGGGAAAGGAAGAUGAUUGUUCGGGAUAAUCUCAAAAGUUCUUACAGAUACAAAUCUCUCCAUCCAAUGACGAUCUUUCAGCUCAUCUACGCUUGACAGAAGACCUGAUUUUCCUUACUUAACGAGAUAUACAACCCUACCUCAAAAGGUUCGAGGAGAAUAGAGACACAUCAAGUGGCUUAAAGUGAAACCCACAUUAGAACCAAAAGCUUUUACAAGAAAGUAAUGGAGGUAGGUGAUGGUCCUCCAUACUGUCGGACCUACUUGAGCACAACAAAUGUUAUAGCAUUUGCUUAGAUCUAAAAUUAUUGGGUCAAUCGCAGGCUUAAAACAUAAGGCGAAUGGAUAAGUAUAUACAUUGGAAAAUCCUAAUUUGAAAGAGGUUAUAGCAUCAAGAAUAAGGAUUUUGGUAAUCUUAUCCAAGCAACAGUCCACCAGGACAACUUUAAAAAUAGAAGAAACUAUCAACGAAUGAUAGUUUUCAACUGGUUCACCCCUAUCUCUCACCGUAGAUGGUUGUUGUUUGGUCCAGUUACAAUCCCAAUUAUAACUCACUAGAAAAAUAGAAUCCAGUUUUGAUCCAGUAUCAACGAUGGAUAAAGCAUGAGAAUAAUGGUAAACAGAAGAAAUCGAAGAAGUCUUAUCCAUCUAUGAGAAUGUUAGGAGACAAAUUUGCUAUUGAUAGAGCAAAGACGAAAAAAUUUGCAGUUUACUCCAUAACAAAAUGUCAUAGUAAAACAAGAUAAAGAAGAAGAGGAAACAAAUCUCAUAGAGAAUUUGACUCAUUAUUUCGGCGCUUCAAUAAUAUAUAAACUGGCCUCAAAGACUAAUCACACACUAACACGUGUCUUGGAAAAGUCUUUCAUAUGUCAGGACACAUCUUGCGGAGAAGAUCUUCCUUUUUAUGGAAGCUACUCCUUCUAGCACAUUCUAGUUUGACACUUUUUUUUUGGAACUUGUAACUUUUGUAUUUAGACCAAUACUUAGGUAGUACUAAAAAAUUAUAUUUACAAGGGGAAAGACUAUAAAAUUUAACCAUAAUAAGACCAAGCCUAGAUGGUAACUAGGACAUCUAGGAUUGAUUAUGUGUCACCAAAACACAGUUCGGUGCACAAAAAAACAAAAUAACAAAGUACAAUUUAGCUUAAUAUUCUGUACUGAAUUCCCUCCAUCCUCAAAAUACCUAUCAUUUCUUCCUUUCCAAAUUGUUCACGAUAUACAUGGGAAUGAUCCUCCACCUCUCUCUGUUCCUUGCACUCACUUCAGUUUCCUCCCAGCUAAAAAGAGUGUCAAUAAUCUUAAUUGGCAUUAUCCAUGCUAUGUCUGUGAGAUUGAUGAAAAUUUUUUGUAGUUGAUCUGUGAUUUUGUAGUGUAGGAAGAGGUUAUUUACUGUUUCCAUUUCCUUCUCACAUAAUAACGUCUGGAGCAGAGAGAAAUUUUCCUUUGAUCAAGAUCUCAUGAGUCAAGACAGCUUCUUUAGCUACAAGCUAGGUAAAACAUGCAACUUUGUAAGGUAUCUUGAUCUUCCAGAUGUGUUUUCAUGGCCAGAUAAUGCUUUGUGGUUUUAUGUGAUUCAACAACUUAUACCCUGGUACUAACUUUAUACAAUCCACUUGAGUGUCCAUCCCACCAUAGACAGUCCACUCCUUUGACCUCCUUGAAAGAUCUCUAACUGAUGUGUGAGUGUUUAAAGAAAAGGCCAGAGGACUCUAAUUGACCUCCCUAAGCUAACUCCAUAUGGAGUGCUGCCCUCCUUGCCACUUUGCAUUUUACACGGUGAUAAAAUCAUAAAUAAGAUAGUUAAUUUUACUAAUUUGUCCUUUAUCUAUAUUGUUUGAAUCCUAUAUAUGGAUAUGAAAUAUUUUCCAACUAUAAUUCCCUAUAAAAGGAAUGAUGGAUAACCUACUUAAUUCACAAAAUAAAUGCAAAAAACAAUACGAAGACAUCAAAUUCUAUCAAAUGUUGUGUGGUCGUUCACUUAAAACACUUUUAGUACUAGUAAUCCUUAAAAUGGGUGGGAGUAGGAUUACAAGCAAUUAAUGAGCUCCUUGAAAAAAGAAACUUUUUGAAACUUCUAAAUUUGUUUUGGAUUCCAAAGAAUACGUCAAAUGGGAAAAAAUAAUUUCAGUUAAAAAGGAAUAGCUCGUAAUAAAAUGGGGAAUAGUAAAAUAAGUGUAGUAGAUUAUUUUAGCUUGAAUUGUGUGAUUGACAUUCUUUUACAAGUAAAUAAAGAAAUUAGAGUUUUUUGGGAUAACCAUGGUGUUCGGGCCAGCUUUCGCGCACCUUGACUAAAUCCACGUGAUACCUGCCACCUCCCACCACCAACAGAUAUAAGAUAAUUUUGUCCACCAAGGCUAGGACAGAUGGGAAGAAUCACCUAGUAUUUUUUGUCUCUGCUGGGAUUUCAGCCUAAGACCUCAGAUUCUCAACCCACUUCAUUGACCACUAGGCCACACCCCUGGAUGCAAUAAAGAAAUUAAUUUGCUUACUCUAAUCAUGGUUAGGACUUUGAUUUAAGUAAUUAAAUAUGAACCUUUAAUACUUAAUCAUGAUAUGUGGCUUCCAUCCAAGUAGGAUAUUGGGGAAAUGGAAAGAUCGAGUAAUGGAGAAGAGCCUCGUCUGAUCUAAUAUGGCCUUUCUCGGCGGAUUCCAGAAAAAGAAGUAACGGAAGUGAAAGAAUAACAAACAAAAUACUUCAAUAAUCAAAGUACAAGAAACAAUAAAUAAUAAAAAAUAAAUGAAGUAUAGAUAUAUGCAUAUAAUGCCUACUGAAAUCUGAAAAAUAUUAUAUUUGAACCCAUAAUUGUAACGCUACAAUGAGAAUCUUAAAAGUUAAAAAAGUUUAAAUGCUGGAUUUGCCUUGUCACAAGCAGAAAGUUCUAAAUACAAAAUAUUGCACUGAAAAAUUACUUGAAAGCAAUAGCAAUAUCACUCCCAAAUUUCUCAAUAUGCUUAUCUAUGACCACGAAGCAUUUGUUAGCUCCAUUGCAAUUAUCUCUUAUUGUUGAUUGGAUCUAAAUUGCUACUAGAAAAGAUUCCUUCGGCAGUGUAAUUUUUCAAUUAAAGUGUUCAUAGUCGAAAAGCUGGAGCGGAUGCAAGACAAAGAGGUAGAGGACCAUUCCCAUGUAUAUCGUGGACAAUUUGGAAAGAAAGAAAUGAUAAAUAUUUUGAGGAUAGAGGAAAUUUAGUACAAAAUCUUAAGCUAAAUUGUAUUUUGUUAUUUUAUUUUUGGUGCACCAAAAUGUACUCUGGGCGACGCAGAAUCAAUCCUAGAUGUUCUAGACACCAUCUGGAUUUGUCUUAUUACGGGUAAAUUUAUAAUCUUUCCCCUUGUAAAUAUGGUUUUUUAGUAUGACUAAGUAUUGGGCUAAAUACGAAAGUUACACGUUUCAAAAAAAAAUCUUCCAAACUAAAAUGUGCUGGAGGGAGUAGCUUCUAAUAGAAGGAAGAUCUUCUCUAUUAAAUGCGUCCUGGCAUAUGAAAAACUUUUCCAAAAUAUGUUUAGCAUGCGAUUGGUCUUUUGGGCUGAUUUAUAUAAUAUUGCAGCACCGCAAUGAUGAGUCAAAUUCCCUAUAAUAUCUGUUUCCUCUUCUUUAUUUUGUUUUAUUGUGAUUUUCUAUCAUGGAAUAAACUGCAGACUUUUCCUUCUUCGCUCUAUCAGCAACAAAUUUAUCUCUUAAUAUUCUCAUCUAUGUUGCUCGGACUCGGCUAUUUUGCUGCCGAACCCGUCUUGAUACGAGACUAGGGCGGGGACGGGUGCUUCCGCUGUCUCCAAUUCGGUCAAACGAUUUCGAAGACGUUGACCAAACUGAAUAAUAAAUUUGAGGGAAGCAUCAAAAUUAACCGGUGACUUACCUGAAAAAAUCUCGACCAACAACCACCAGAACAGAGACGGUGUUAUCGAUGGCCAUCGCUGUCGCUGAAAAUCAUCAUUGCCAUCGUCGGAAAACAUCGUGCAGUCGUCUACGGUCAGUUGUCAUCAAUCGUCCGUAGUCAUCGGCAUUAAUA